UGCCAGCAGCCGCGGUAAGACGUAGGUGGCGAGCGUUGUCCGGAAUUACUGGGCGUAAAGGGCGUGUAGGCGGCCAUUCAAGUCAGGCGUGAAAUCACAGGGCUCAACCUUGUGACUGCGUUUGAAACUGGGUGGCUUGAGGACAGGAGAGGAAAGCGGAACUCCCAGUGUAGCGGUGAAAUGCGUAGAUAUUGGGAAGAACACCAGUGGCGAAGGCGGCUUUCUGGACUGUCCCUGACGCUGAGGCGCGAAAGCCAGGGGAGCGAACGGGAUUAGAUACCCCGGUAGUCCUGGCUGUAAACGAUGGGUACUAGGUGUGGGGGGUAUCGACCCCCUCCGUGCCGGAGUUAACACAAUAAGUACCCCGCCUGGGGAGUACGGCCGCAAGGUUGAAACUUAAAGGAAUUGGCGGGGGAC
rnacentral:rRNA from 1 species